GCUGAAAUGGCCUCAUAAUCCAGACUUCAAUUGUGCUUUUAUUAACAUUUCCCAGUAAUCCAUUAUAACUCACUGUAAUUCACCUCCACACCAGUGUGUGCGCUGUUCGCGCCCUGCUGGUUAAUCUGCUCCACGGUCUCUCUCUAUCACUCUGCCCCGCCCUCACUGCUUCCAUUUGAAAAAAAUCGGCGGGACAUGGGAGAUGAGUCUGAGAGUUAGAGCAAAAACUUCCGAAAUAUGGGAAUAUUUCAGGCCAACUGGUAAAAGAGUUGUCGGUACACUCUCCAAAGAUGCGCUCACAGAAAAGAAGAAGACAACGAAGCAGUCGCCGUCUUCACAACUCUGAGAUAAACUGUAGCAGGCGCUACGAACCAGAGCAAGGACUAACCUCGCCUCAUAACGAGGCUGUAACCUAUAUUUGCUCAGAGCUGUCUGCAAGUCCAGAUUUACAUGACGCUGAUAAUGACGCCGUUGUGUCUAACUGCCUGUAAGACAUAUUACGAGACAGCAUGCAGGAGCUUCAGCUAGAAACAACCAGAUGUGGCAUCGCGGGCAGAAGCUGUGAAGAGUUCAGCUCGGAGUCGGUCGAGAA